AGCAGCCGCGGUAAUUCCAGCUCCAAUAGCGUAUAUUAAAGUUGUUGCAGUUAAAAAGCUCGUAGUUGAAUUUCGGGAUUGACACAUCGGUCGUGCCUUAAGGGGUAUGAACUGGUGUAGUCAAUUUCUCACCUUCUGGAGAACCGCGAUGCCCUUAAUUGGGUGUCACGGGGAACCAGGACCUUUACUUUGAAAAAAUUAGAGUGUUUAAAGCAGGCAUUUUGCUUGAAUACAUUAGCAUGGAAUAAUAAAAUAGGACGGCAUGAUUCUAUUUUGUUGGUUUCUAGGAUCACCGUAAUGAUUAAUAGGGAUAGUUGGGGGGCAUUAGUAUUCAAUUGUCAGAGGUGAAAUUCUUGGAUUUAUUGAAGACUAACUACUGCGAAAGCAUUUGCCAAGGAUGUUUUCAUUAAUCAAGAACGAAAGUUAGGGGAUCGAAGACGAUCAGAUACCGUCGUAGUCUUAACCAUAAACUAUGCCGACUAGGAAUCAGACGAUGUUAAUUUUUUAAUGACUCGUUUGGCACCUUACG
rnacentral:rRNA from 1 species